rnacentral:rRNA from 1 species
CAUGUAGGCGGCAUGACAAGUCUGGUGUGAAAUAUCUCGGCUCAACCGAGAAAACGCACUGGAAACUGUCAAGCUUGAGUAUCGGAGGGGAAGCUAGAAUUCCUGGUGUAGGGGUGAAAUCUGUGGAUAUCAGGAAGAAUACCGGUGGCGAAGGCGAGCUUCUGGCCAGAUACUGACGCUGAGAUGCGAAAGCGUGGGGAGCGAACAGGAUUAGAUACCCUGGUAGUCC